GCCAACAUAGCUCAGUCGGUAGAGCAUGAGACUCUUCAUCUCAAGGUUGAGGGUUCGAGAUUCAUGGUGGGCC